rnacentral:rRNA from 1 species
AUUGAACGCUGGCGGCAUGCUUUACACAUGCAAGUCGAACGGUAACAGGCCGCAAGGUGCUGACGAGUGGCGCACGGGUGAGUAAUGCAUCGGAACGUGCCCAGUCGUGGGGGAUAACUACUCGAAAGAGUAGCUAAUACCGCAUACGAUCUAUGGAUGAGAGCGGGGGACCGUAAGGCCUCGCGCGAUUGGAGCGGCCGAUGUCAGAUUAGGUAGUUGGUGGGGUAAAGGCUCACCAAGCCAACGAUCUGUAGCUGGUCUGAGAGGACGACCAGCCACACUGGGACUGAGACACGGCCCAGACUCCUACGGGAGGCAGCAGUGGGGAAUUUUGGACAAUGGGCGCAAGCCUGAUCCAGCAAUGCCGCGUGCAGGAAGAAGGCCUUCGGGUUGUAAACUGCUUUUGUACGGAACGAAACGGCUCUGGUUAAUACCCGGGGCUAAUGACGGUACCGUAAGAAUAAGCACCGGCUAACUACGUG